AGCAGCCGCGGUAAUUCCAGCUCCAAUAGCGUAUAUUAAAGUUGUUGCAGUUAAAAAAGCUCGUAGUUGAAUUUCGGGGUCAGUAGGUUGGUCAUGCCACUGGUAUGUACUGGCCUCACUGAUUCCUCCUUCCUGAUGAGCCGUAAUGCCAUUAAUUUGGUAGUUGCGAGGAAUCUGGACUGUUACUUUGAAAAAAUUAGAGUGUUUAAAGCAGGCUAACGCUUGAAUACAUUAGCAUGGAAUAAUGAAAUAGGACGUUCGAUCUUAUUUUGUUGGUUUCUAAGAUUGACGUAAUGAUUAAUAGGGAUAGUUGGGGGCAUUAGUAUU
rnacentral:rRNA from 1 species